rnacentral:rRNA from 1 species
CGGUACAUCGGUGACAGGUGGUGCAUGGUUGUCGUCAGCUCGUGUCGUGAGAUGUUGGGUUAAGUCCCGCAACGAGCGCAACCCCUAUUGUUAGUUGCCAUCAUUCAGUUGGGCACUCUAGCGAGACUGCCGGUAAUAAACCGGAGGAAGGUGGGAUGACGUCAAAUCAUCAUGCCCCUUAUGACCUGGGCUACACACGUGCUACAAUGGUUGGUACAGCGAGUUGCGAGUCGGUGACGGCGAGCUAAUCUCUUAAAGCCAAUCUCAGUUCGGAUUGUAGGCUGCAACUCGCCUACAUGAAGUCGGAAUCGCCAGUAAUCGCGGAUCAGCACGCCGCGGUGAAUACGUUCCCGGGCCUU